rnacentral:rRNA from 1 species
UACGGAGGGUGCAAGCGUUAUCCGGAUUCACUGGGUUUAAAGGGCGCGUAGGCGGGCAGGUAAGUCAGUGGUGAAAUCUUCGAGCUUAACUCGGAAACUGCCGUUGAUACUAUCUGUCUUGAAUACCGUGGAGAUGAGCGGAAUAUGUCAUGUAGCGGUGAAAUGCUUAGAUAUGACAUAGAACACCGAUUGCGAAGGCAGCUCGCUACACGAAUAUUGACUCUGAGGCACGAAAGCGUGGGGAUCAAACAGG